GCCACGGUGGUCUAGCGGUUAGAACGCUGGCCUUGUAAUCCUGAGAUCUCGGGUUCGAUUCCCGGCGGUGCCC
rfam:Zootermopsis nevadensis contig14624, whole genome shotgun sequence.